rnacentral:misc_RNA from 1 species
AAAGCAGCUUCUCUAAGGUCUAUUGUCCAGAAAUCAAAGGGCAUAUCUUCCUCAAUUGACGAUUUCAACCUCAUGAAAGCCUCCUUUGUUCGAAUAAGCUGCUCACAUUGUCUCUGGUUGACUGUCCAUCUGCGACCACCGACAGGGAUCUUAUUGAGACCCAUAAUUUCUAUUAUUGCUGCCUCAAGAUCUUGAAUCCCUUGACCAUUGACAGCACAUGUUGGAAUGUGCUUGUUGAAG